rnacentral:rRNA from 1 species
UACAGAGGGUGCGAGCGUUGUCCGGAAUCACUGGGCGUAAAGGGCGCGUAGGUGGCCCGACAAGUCUGUGGUGAAAGCUCGACGCUCAACGUCGAGUCGGCCAUAGAUACUGUUGGGCUGGAGCACUGUAGAGGCUCAUGGAAUUCCGGGUGUAGCGGUGGAAUGCGUAGAGAUCGGGAGGAACACCAGUGGCGAAGGCGGUUGCCUGGGGCUUUGCUGACGCUGAUGCGCGAAAGCGUGGGGAGCGAGUCCGG